UUUCCGUAGGUGAACCUGCGGAAGGAUCAUUAUUGAAUAAUCGAGGAUGGAGGGUUGUCGCUCACCAGAAACGUCGUGCACGCGCGAGUGCCUCUACACCCAUCCAACUCACCCCAACUCGAACCACCGCGUGGGUCCCCCUGUGUCUUGUUUGGUGUGGGGCUUCCGUUUAUACUCAAACUUUGUAUAACGUGUCGAUUGUAUUUUGUGUCUUUGCGAACACCCGAUCAAUACAACUUUAAACAACGGAACUCUUGGCUCCCGAACCGAUGUAGAACG
rnacentral:misc_RNA from 1 species